rnacentral:rRNA from 1 species
UACGAAGGGGGCUAGCGUUGUUCGGAAUCACUGGGCGUAAAGGGCGCGUAGGCGGCAAUUCAAGUCACUUGUGAAAUCUCCGAGCUUAACUCGGAACGGUCAAGUGAUACUGCUUUGCUAGAGUGCAGAAGGGGCAACCGGAAUUCUUGGUGUAGCGGUGAAAUGCGUAGAUAUCAAGAGGAACACCGGAGGUGAAGACGGGUUGCUGGGGCUGACACUGACGCUGAGGCGCGAAAGCUAGGGUAGCAAACGGGG